rnacentral:rRNA from 1 species
CGUAGGUGGCAAGCGUUGUCCGGAUUUAUUGGGUUUAAAGGGUGCGUAGGCGGCUUUGUAAGUCAGUGGUGAAAUACUCCAGCUCAACUGGAGAGGUGCCAUUGAUACUGCAGAGCUAGAGUACUGAUGAGGUAGGCGGAAUGGACGGUGUAGCGGUGAAAUGCUUAGAUAUCGUCCAGAACACCGAUAGCGAAGGCAGCUUACUAAAGAGUAACUGACGCUGAGGCACGAAAGUGUGGGGAUCAAACAGGAUUAGAUACCCUGGUAGUCCACACUGUAAACGUUGAUCACUAGAUGUUGGCGAUACACUGCCAGCGUUCCAGCAAAGGCGAUAAGUGAUCCACCUGGGGAGUACGCCCGCAAGGGUG